rnacentral:rRNA from 1 species
GACGAACGCUGGCGGCGUGCUUAACACAUGCAAGUCGAACGGAAAGGCCUGCUUUCCCUUGUGGAUUGCGGGUGCUCGAGUGGCGAACGGGUGAGUAACACGUGAGUGAUCUGCCCCCAACUUGGGUAUAAGCCUGGGAAACUGGGUCUAAUUCCCGAUAGUACUGCAGGGUGGUGCCUGUGGUGGAAAACGAUUUUCUAGUGGUUGGGGAUGAGCUGGCGGCCUAUCAGCUUGUUGGUGGGGUAAUGGCCUACCAAGGCGGCGACGGGUAGCCGGCCUGAGAGGGUGGACGGCGACAUUGGGACUGAGAUACGGCCCAGACUCCUACGGGAGGCAGCAGUGGGGAAGAUUGCACGAUGGGCGGAAGCCUGAUGCAGCGACGCCGCGUGGGGGAUGACGGCCUUCGGGUUGUAAACUCCUUUCGACCGCGAGGAAGCCACCUGGUUGGAAGGGUGGUGACGGUAGUGGUAGAAGAAGCACCGGCUAACUACGUG